GGGAAAUUCGGCGGGUCAUUCCGGAAGACGUGAUGGGAAUGAACCGGUUUGCGAUCGAGGUAGCGGUUGGUGUUUGGUGUUUUACUUUCCGCGGGAGGUUGCGGCACAUACCUGAUGAAACUGGCAACUAAAAUAUUAAAAUCUGAUCAUGCCGGAAACCAUGAGUUCGCCUCCGUAGAACCCACGGAAGUAUUCACGUUAUCUCGUACCCCGGUGGCCAUCAAUCCGCCUGAGAUCCAAGAUUGGCGGGUUAAACUUUGAUCAGCUCGUCGAGAAGCAAAAGUCCAACACCAACAUCCAAGCCGGAAGCUGCGGUCAAGGCAAAUCCGAGAGCAUCCGAAGAAUGCCAAGUUGGAGAAGAAUCGGCGAUUCGGAAGUUAAAUUUCGUGAAAAAGUUUAUAUUAUUGUGCAAUUAGAUGUGUUUGAAUAAAAAAUAAAAUAAAAAACAA